AUUGAACGCUCGGCGGGCGAUGCUUUAACACAUGCAAGUCGAACGGCAGGCACGAGGGAAGGCUUGCUCCCGGGUGGCGAGUGGCGCACGGGUGAGUAAUACAUCGGAACGUGUCCUGUUGUGGGGGAUAACUGCUCGAAAGGGUGGCUAAUACCGCAUGAGACCUGAGGGUGAAAGCGGGGGAUCGCAAGACCUCGCGCAAUUGGAGCGGCCGAUGCCCGAUUAGCUAGUUGGUGAGGUAAAGGCUCACCAAGGCGACGAUCGGUAGCUGGUCUGAGAGGACGACCAGCCACACUGGGACUGAGACACGGCCCAG
rnacentral:rRNA from 1 species